CUUACCAGGUUAGAAACACUGUUUUGUAGAAUCUGCAAAAGGACGUUUUUGAUCACAUUGAGGCCCAUGGUGAAAAACCGAAUAUCUCCAGAGAAAAAGUAGAAAAAAGUUAUCUGUGAAACCGCUUUGUGCUGUGUGGAUUCAGCUUACAGAUUUAACCCUUUCAUCUGAUUCAGCAGAAUCUGUGACUGGACAUUGGGGAGCUCAUUGAGGUGAAUGGUGCAAAACUGAAUAUCCCUAGAUAAAAACUGGAAAAAAUCUCUUUGAAACUGCUUCAUGAUGUGUGGAUUCUUCUCAUGGUGCAGGUUGAAAACACCAUUUUGUAAAAUCUACAAAGAGACAUUUGGGAGACCAUUGAGGCAUAUGGUGAAAAACGGAGAAUCCCAAGAUAAAAACAAGAAAGAAGCUAUCUGUGAAACUCCUUUGUGACGUGUAGAUCCAUCUCACAGAGUGAAACUUUUCUUUUCAUUCAGCAGGUUGGAAACAUUCUCUUUGUAGAAUCUGCAAAGGAACAAUUGGGAGUCUAUUGAGGCCCAUGUUGGCAAACUGAUUAUUCCCAGAUAAAAACUAGAGAGAAGAUAUUCAUGUAACUGCUUUGUUAUGUGUGCAUUCAUCUAACAGAGAUAAAACUUUCUUUUGAUUCAUCAGGUUGGAAACACUCUUGCUUUAGAGUCUUGAAAGGAAUAUUUGGGAGUCCCUUGAGUGCUAUGGUGAAAAACCAAAUAUUCCCAGAUAAAAACUAGAAAGAAGCUAUCUGUGAAACUGCUUUGUGUUGUGUGGAUUCAUCUCACACAGUUAAACCUUUCUUUUGAUUCAGCAAGUUGGAAAGCUUCCUUUUGGAGGAUCUGGGAAUGGAGAUUUUGGAGCCCAUUGAGGCCUACGGUGAAAAACCGAAUAUCCCCAGAUAUAAACUAGAAAGAAAUUUUCCAUGAAACUGCUUUGUGAUUACUGUGAAAAAGCUUUGUGACAUGUGGAUUCAUCUCACAGAGUUACACAUUUAUUUUGGUUCAGCUGGUUGGAAACACUCUUUUUGUAAAACCUGAAAAGAGACAUUUGGGAGCACAUGGAGGACUAUGGUGAAAAAUUGAAUAACCUCAGGAAAAAAAAAACAAGAAACUAUCUGUGAAACUGCUUUGUGAUAUGCGGAUUCAUCUCACAAAGUUAAAUCUUUGUUAUAACUCUGCAAGUUAUAAACACUCUUUUUGUAGAACUUGUGAAAGUACAUUUGGGAGCCCUUCAAGGACUAUGGUGAAAAACAGAAUAUCCCCAGAUAAAACGAAAAAGAAACUAUCUGUGAAACUAUUUUGGGAUGAGUUAAGUCAUCUUACAAAGUGCAACCUUUCUUUUAAUUCAGCAGGUCGAAGACAGUCUUUUUGUAGAAUCUGUGAAGGCAUAUUUGAAAGCCCAUUGAGGCCUAUGGUGAAAAACCGAAUAUCCUCAGAUACAAACUAGAAAGAAGCUAUCUGUGAAACUUCUUUGUGAUAUGUGGAUUCAUCUCACAGAGUUACACCAUUCAGCAUGUUUGCUAACACUUUUUUUGUAGAAUAUUCAAAGGGACAUUUGAGAGCCCUUUGAGGCCUAUGUUAAAAAAAGAAUAACCCCAGAUAAAAACUAGAAAUAAACUAUGAAACUGCUUUGGGUUGUGUGGAUUCAUCUCACAGAAAUAAACCUUUCAUUUGAUUCAUCUACUUGGAAACACUUUUUCCGUAGAAUCUGUGAAGAGGCAUUUAAAAGCCUAUUGUGGAGUAUGGUGAAAAAUCAAAUAUCUUCUAAUAAAAACUAAAAACAUGCUAUCUAUGAAACUGCUUGUGAAGAGUGAAUUCAUCUCACAGAUUUAAAAAUUUCUUUUGAUUCAGCAGGUUGGAAACACUCUUUUUGAAGAAUCUGCCGAGGGAUAUUUGGGAGCCCCUUCAGGCCUAUGGCAAAAAACUGAAUAUCCCCAGAUAAAAAUUCAAAAGAAGUUAUCUGUGAAACUGCUUUGCAAUGUGUGAAUUUGUCUCACAUGGUUAAACUUUUCUUUUGAUUCAACAGGUUGGAAACACUUUUUGUAGAAUCUAGGAAGAGACUUACGGGAGCCCAAGGAGGCCUAUGGUGAAAAAAUGAAUAUCCUCAG
rnacentral:lncRNA from 1 species